rnacentral:tRNA from 1 species
GGCGGCAUAGCCAAGUGGCAAAGGCAAUGGAUUGCAAAUCCUUUAUUCCUCGGUUCAAGUCCGAGUGCUGCCU